AAACACUCCAGCAGCACACACCUAAUGCAUGAGAGGACUCUAAGAUGUUAAGCAUGAAUAUGGAUACGUUAAGUAAACUCGCUGCUCCUGCCACGGCAAAGAUUCGGCAGCUUCAAAAGAUUGUCCAAGACAUCAAGAAGAAUGAUGGCAGCUUGCUGAACAAACUGAGGAGGCUGAAGAGCAAGCCGCUUCCAAAAGUGCCUGCGAGAGAUUACAGAGAUGACAGGGAAGAUGGUGAACUGUCUGAUACGG
rnacentral:lncRNA from 1 species